CAAUAGCGUAUAUUAAAGUUGUUGCAGUUAAAAAGCUCGUAGUUGGAGUUCAGAGUGAGCUCAGCUGGUCGGCCUAAUGGGUCAGAACUGGUUGACUCUCUCUUGUUUGUGGGUCUCGCCCGGAGUUAACUCUUCGGGUGUGGAUCCCACAUCGUUUACCUUGAAAAAAUUAGAGUGUUCAAAGCAGGCGUUUGCUUGAAUAUAUUAGCAUGGAAUAAUGGAAUAGGACGCUGGUUCUAUUUUGUUGGUUUUGAGAACCAGAGUAAUGAUUAAUAGGGACAGUUGGGGGCAUUCAUAUUUCAUUGUCAGAGGUGAAAUUCUUGGAUUUAUGAAAGAUGAACUUCUGCGAAAGCAUUUGCCAAGGAUGUUUUCAUUAA
rnacentral:rRNA from 1 species